ensembl:lncRNA
CUGGAUUUCUAAAAUAGUUCUUCUAAUGGGAGCUCACACCGCCUUAGAGAGUCCUGCAAAAUAUGUGUAAGUGCUGUAAAACAAAACCUGUCCAGCCGAUCGAUGCAGGCACAUUAAUGUGGAUUGAAAGAUUGUGCACAGUUGAAGGGCAGUCUUCAAUCAGUCUUCAGUGGGUUAAGAAUGAAAAGAUUAUGGAGUCAUAACCAUGACUCGGGUAUCAGGUGAGAUACACAUGGCUCAGCUGUGAUUCCGACAGAGGGCAGUUGUGCUGGUCAGCUACUGACUUAAUACAUCCAGCUGGGUGUAGUUGGGAUGUGUGCAUGUCCCACCUGAGUGUGACAAAACAGACAGCACAUCAUCAUCAAUUACACGGCAUAAUGUCCUUGACACUGAGCCAUUUUCAUGUGCUCUCUUCCAUCACUGCUCACAUGCUGACCUUGGUGCUCCAGCCAUCUCGCUGUGUGUUGUCUGUGGUAAAACAGCCCAUUUUAUUACACAAAUCCUGGCCACGUGAAGAUUUGCGAUCAGCAUGUUUGCAGACACUUGUGUGGUGGCUGAGAAAUGUCAGACACUGAUUUUUAACUCCUGGUUUGAAUUCCUCCCAAAAGACUUGAAACCAUCAACACAUGGCUGAAGCGAUACAGGCAUCCAGUGUCAUCACUGUUUGACUAAAUCAGCGAAUGAAACUAAUGACUUCUUAUUGUGUUUCCAGGAGGGAGUGAUUUGGCAGACCUUUAGGUUGAGCAGGAAGAAGGCAGGAGUGACAGUGCAGAGGCAGAACACACAUCCACAGGAAACUUAUGCUUAAGGAGCUCUUGUCAUGUUCUUUUUCUCAGUUAGGGAGUUAAUUAGUGUUGACCCGGACGCAAAGAUAGGCUCUGUGUGAGGUUCUUUCAGGGUUAUGGAUUCAAACCUCCGGAAUAGAUUUGCUUCUUACGUAACGCAGAUGUGAACAGCAGCGUUUAUUAAGGAUCGUAAAGGCUACGUAGUCAUUAAACUUUUCUGCCUUAUCUUUUUCCUUCUGCUGCAUCUCAAAUUGAGACUGUUUGUUCAUCCCUGCAGAACAAAACUUAUUCAGUAGCUUUAAAUGGUAAAGAUUGCUUUGCAUGUGUAUGCUCCCGUCUGUAGGGGCAUGUAAAAGCUUUAUGCAUGUACAUUUCUUUUUAUCUAUAUCAAAAAAAGAGACGUGAUGAUUUCGAUGUGCCACCUUGAUUGUUGCUCAUGUGGACUAAUCGUUGGCGAAGUGUUUCUAAAAGCCACAGGGGUUUUUAUCUCUGCUACAAAGGAGCUGGACUUCCACCCGCCUCAGUCUAACCUAUACGAUCCUCCACUUCUUGGCUUCGUCUGCAGUGGAAGAAUUUCUCUUCUACACAAAGAUGAAAAGACGGUAACAGAGGAAAGCAGGGGUUGACAGAGUGAGGCAAGCAAGCAAAUCAUUCACAUUUAGGUCAUUUCCUUCAGCGAGUUGGUCAGAAAGAGCACUCAGGACUCUUUGAAUGCCUGCCCUGCCAUCAAGCCUCAGAUUAUCCUCAGCUGUCCCUCAAAGGACUAUAAUGCACAUUUUAAAGUAAGUGCAGAGAGUUCAUCAUCCCUCCUGGCUGUACCUACCGAACAAACAUACAUGUUCUGCGGUAAUGGAACUUGUAUAAAAGAAAGCAGAAACUCCACUGGUACUGACCAAGUGGAGUAUUUCUGGCCUCACUGAAUAUCACAUAUAUUCCACUUCAGGUAGGACUUUGUACCAGAGUUCCCUGCAGCAUCAAAAGUGAUGCCACCAUGAUGUCAGCCAUCACAGCGAGUGAGUGCGCUCCCGUUGAUCAUUUCCUAUUCAUUCUUUAUGAGCCCUGGGCUAAAUGCUUCCUGUAAGCUUAGGCAGAACUGGAGCCCAGAAUAGUAGACUGUUUGACUUCAGUCAGAGUGUGUAUGUAUAUAUGUGUGUAUAUGUAUAUAUGUGUGUAUAUGUGUAUAUAUAUAUAUGUGUGUGUGUGUGUGUGUGUGUGUGUGUGUGUGUGUGUGUGUGUGUGUGUGUGUGUGUGUGUGUGUUUGGCAUUCUAGCCUCAUCAGUAAGUAAUAAGUAAAUUGUAAUUCCAUGCAUCUUGGAAAGAGAUAAGCUGUCUGUUAGAUGUGCUACAUUUUGAAAACUCAGCAAUGAUUGACGCUUUAAAGGCUCUGAAAAAAAAAACACAGCUUUUUGUGAAAUGACUCAGUUGCCUCAGUUACAUAAUGGUAAUGUUGCAUAUGUCUCUGCACCAAUCAGGAUUUAGAAACAGGUAUUUUUUUAAUGUAGAAACAUCAAGGAUAUGAAGUUAUUUCUGUUACUAUCACAUCAUUUUUCAUAUUUAUUAGGUUGCAAUAUGCCAAAUUACAUUAUUAAUUCAAUUUACAGUUAUUUUUAUACUAUUCAUUCACAACAGCAGUCACCUCAAGUUCAUUUAUAUUAUAAGGUAAAGACCCUACAAUAUUAAAGAAACCCCAAGAAUUACACAACCUCCUCCGAGCAAACACCUGGUGACAGUGGGAAGGAAAAACUCCCUAUUAACAGGAACAGACCUUCAGCAGAACCAGGCUCAGGGUGGGACACCCAUCUGCGGUGACUGGUUGGGGGGGAGGGGAAGGAGAAUAGAGGACAGAGAGACAGAACAAAUGGCAAAUCAUAGGAAAAAGAGCCAGAAAAAAAAAAUACUGGCAAAAGUGAUAGAUCCACUUAGAUGGUGUUUCUGCUAUUCUCUGCAGGAUGUAGACAAAAGCAUCAGAAAACUACAAUAACUUCCUAAUUUUAAAGUUUCCGCUUUCAAUAAUGUUGGUUCCCAUGUUCAACCAAGAGCUUUUAAGCUCAAGUCUUUUGUUUGAAAUACCUAUGACAUAUUUUAUUUCUUCUUUUUGAACAGCAGCACUGAACCACCCCUUCACACCAUUAGAAUCUCAUCGGUGUGCCUGACAGAGAGAAGCAGACAUCAAAAGGGAGGCUGAUGGACUGUUAAAAAAAGAAAGGGAAAAAAAGUCUCUUGUUCACUGAACCAGACCCAGUGGUGUUUUGUCCCUCAGCCAACAGGGCUCAUGACUCCAGCUGUGGCCCUGGCUGUGACUGUUGCCUAGUGUUCUCUGUGGUCUUUCAGUUCUUGAGGAAUCACUGUUUGAGUAACUGUUUGCACAGCCAAAGUUUGCAAGAAAAACAGAGUGAUCCAUCCUAAGUCCCCACAGCCCCGAACUUCUGAGGAAAAACUUUCAAGUCAGCCAUGGAGCAGAAGACAAAUGAGUGUCCCACCAGCACCUCUCCUCAGAAACACAUGAAAAAUAGGUCUAAGUCCACAGAGGAGGUACAGCAGUCAAAGAAGGCCUUUUCCUCACAAAAAUCACUCCCAGGCAGACCAGAGCUGGAGAGAGUGAAGGAAUGUCCUGAUGGCUCUGAGACACCGUCAUCCUCCAGCGAAGAACUGAAAUGAUGAACAAAGCCAAAAAAAGAUGCCAUAAAGCUACAUCAUCAUAAACCUGAGACAUAAAAUGUGCAGAUGUACACAGCGGAACAUGCAGAAUAGUAUAUGAAAAAAAUGCAAGCCGUGAAUUGAUUAAAAGGAGAGAAUUGGACUAAAACACACACACACACACACACACACACACACACACACACACACACACACACACACACACACACACACACACACACACACAAAUUCACCCUACCGCUGAAACAACAUGUAUGUGAACAAAAGGACACCUGUGAUGAUAUUGUUUCAUUGUACUGUGAGUGGUGUAUACAUGCCACCUGAAUGUGUAGUAACAAUAAAGUGAUGUUGCUGAGUGAAUCUGUGUUUACUAACCUCCACUAAGCCAACUGCCAAAUAAUAAGGCUGUCGGAAACAAUACAGAUAGAUGAUGGUGUGCAGCA